CAGCAUCGCAGCCACGGCUACCAUCCACAGAUCAGCUGUUGGUGAUUUGAUGACGCCAUCACAGUCCACAUCAAGGCUCCAAACUACGAGGUCUGAGGUGCGGUGCUGAGCUGCAGCAGGUGACUCCCAGGUCGUGGGCGUCCUUCUCGGCGUGCAGGAGGCUGAUGUCCAUGUCCCAUAGUUUAAGGUCGCCGUUGGUGCAGCCGGUCACGAAGACCUGGCCACACAUGUCUUGCAGGAGAAGUCCCAGAGGACCACGGUGACUGUCAGAGGCUCCAGCCAGCAGGAGGGAGGAGUCUGGGGCCAGGGCGGGCGCACACCCGGAGCGGACUGCGGCCCGGGUGCUGCAGCUCAGUGGCCACCUCACCUGUGUCCGGGCUCCACGCCAUGAUGGACCUGUCUGUGGAUCAGCUGACCAGGCUCCGGGCGCAGGCGCUGAAGUAGCAGCAGUGAACCCCGUAGCCGUGUCCGGACAGCGGAGGGUUUUAUCGGCCGAGCAGGUGGCGAGCAGGCCCGCAGAGAAGCAGCAGCAGCUCAGCUCGUCUGUGUGCUGCUGAUGAGUGUUGACUAAUGUCACCAUGAUGAUGAUGAAGAGGAGGAGGAGGAGCAGGAGGUUCACUCACCAGGGGGCGCACACUGAUCUUAUAUGAGAUGGGAGCUGUCAGAGGGAUGAAGGCGGAUGUGGAGCCUCUCAGGAGGAACAUGGACUUCCUAGCCUGGAUGCCAGACAAACUUAGCCCCGCCCCCAACAUUUGAGGUCGGGAAGUUAGGUGUGGAGUUGCUCCGUUGGGGAGAAAUUAUGCCCGAUCAGAAACUGUUCGGACCAAUCAGAUUUUCAGGGCGGGCUUUAUACGAUGAUACAGUAACGUAAUCAACCACUUCAUCAAAGUGCGCUUGGGUUGAAUUCGUUUUCAACAAACAUGCCUGCCGCUGGAGAGCUGAGAUGUGUAGAUGCUGACAUUGAAUCUGUUUUAGAAUACAUCGACAGCACAUUCAUUUUGAAAGAGGAACAGAGAACGCGGAGACGACGCCAAAGCACCGCGCUAAUCCCUAGCGUGCCGGCGCUUGGCUGUUCACACCGGACACUGAAGCGACGCUGAACCGCCGGGCAGCGCUAAUAAUAUCACCCGUUGAUCCAGUAGAUUAAAAGCAUAUACUUACUUGUUGCUCCAACAUUAAGCAACAGCGUCCCAACAUUUGUCUUUUUUGGUGUUGUCUUCAUACAACAUGUUCCGAGGAUCAUACAACUCACUGUACUUCUCCACUUCAAUUAUGAAUUUAAUGUCAUCCAUGUUGAAGAACUUUGCUGUUUGCUCCGUUAAAUGUCGGGUGUCGAGGGUAAAUUACGUAUUCUCCACUCAAGCCUAUGGGGAGAAUACGUAGCCCCCUCUCUCUCUCUUUUUAUCUGUAUCACUGCUUGUGUGGCUGUAGUGGAUGGGCAGAGGGGGACAUUGGUAAAAUUAAAACUCCAGGACAACAGAAGGGGAAUUCAAAGAAUGGGAUGCAUAUUUGAUCAUUUAUAUCGUAUAAAAUAUGUCAUCAAUAUCGUUUAAAAUCAUUUUACACUCGCGUCAAGCGCAAAAAAUAGACUCAACGCGGAAACGAUCACUUAACGGCGCUAGGCAGCCUUGGCGCAGCGCGGCGCUUCAGUCUGAACUGAUUUGAGCUCCUUUACAUCCUGUUAUAUUAUCAGAUCUCAACUCUACACUUUUUAUUGUAUUUGUUGAUCAUGUUUUAUUCUACCACAUAACUAAGCUGUGAAAUGUAAGUAAGCAGCAGGAGCGGAGUGAAAUAAUAAAGGAAAUUCUUCCCAGUGAAGAGAAGUUUAAAAAAGGUAAAUUCUCAAGUAAGCGUCCUUAAAAUAUAUUUUUUAAUGAUUAUUAAACUUAUUAUCCUCAAAGCUAAAAAGGCUGAGAUUCUGCCUAAUAAUAGUAUUACUACUGGGAAACUUUUAACUUUUAUGUCAUCUGUGCUACUCAUCCACCAUUUAAAAAUAAUAUACCUACAAAAGUUGCUACAACUAUAUUCAUAGUAAAAUCCAGUUUUUCAGCUGCAGUUGUUUGGAGAUGCCUCCAGACGACCGUGACUCCGUCCCACUCUCCGCUGGAUUAAAGCCCAGCGCAGUGUCAUGUCUGUCCGCAGGACGUCUGACAAGACUGGUUAAAGGAACGGCUCGGAGAUCAAACAUGCAUUUUGUGUAAGGGGGGUUCUUACAGUAUAUUGUGCAGGACACAAACGCAGGACACACACAGUGUUUGUUCUUUCACAUUGUACAUUCAGCUUUAUUGCAGCUCAUACAGAUAUAGGGUCACAGGCGAAGAGAAAGCGAGCGACACCAAAGAGGACGAUUGAUAAGUAUAAACAAGUGUUUUUCUAUAUUUUAGCUUUAGUUUUGCCCCAGGAGCUCAGCCCAUCGCUUGGCAAAGAAUUCUUUCAAUGUCAGUCCUGCUCGUCCGAUUGUCGAAUCUUCCUCAUUGUAUUUCUCACAGUUUUCAAAAACCAGGUUGACGUCCAUGACGAAUGUCUCAAAAUGUAGGUACCUGCAAAGAUUGGAAAUAGUUUAAUUUUAAUUCAGAGGCAGCAUUCAUAUCAGAGAAGUAACUGAA